rnacentral:rRNA from 1 species
CCCCUAGAUGUUCUGGGCCGCGCGCGCGCUACACUGAACAGUUCAACAAGUCUUAACCUUGGCCGAUAGGUCUGGGUAAUCUUUGAACGCUGUUCGUGAUUGGGAUAGACCUUUGCAAUUAUGGGUCUUCAACGAGGAAUUCCUAGUAAACGCAAGUCAUCAGCUUGCAUUGAUUACGUCCCUGCCCUUUGUACACACCGCCCGUCGCACCUACCGAUUGAAUGGUCCGGUGAAAUCUCGGGACGGCGGCUUGGUCGCUUGCGUCCGACUGCUGAAACUUGAUUAAACCAUAUCAUUUAGAGGAAGGUGAANUCGUAACA